UGUAAGAUGUUUUCUAUUCUUGAGUACUGUAAAAGAGAAUAGUAAAGUCAAUAAAGUUGCUCGGUAACUGGGAGCCCUCCCAUCUUCUUUCUUUCAAUCCUCACGCCUAGUUUCAGGUUCCUUUCAGUUUGCCUCAGCAGGUCCGCUGCAGAGUGGCGCCGAACAGGGACCUGAAUAUCGGGGAUUUGCCUUGAAGGACGCCGCGUGGAGAGCUCGGGACAAAGUGAAAGUAAGGUACUGUUCAACUAGUGACGGCGGGCCCCGUCACGAGUGGCACCCGAACAGGGACCUGAGCACGGAGGACAAGGUGAAGGACGCCGCUGGAUUGUGAACUCGGACAAAAAUAUAGUUUCAUUCAGAUGGACGUUACUUGGAGAACCUACCUCAGAAUGGUGACCUUCACUGUGGAAGAAACACUUAAGUUUCCUCUACUGCAUAUUUCUGCCAUGAUGUGCUGCCCUCAGUCUUGGACUGGAACCUCCAGAACUAUCCAGAAUGGGAGAGAUGGAUACCCUGGUUUCCUGCUUUGCAAAUGGCCCAUCCUCGUUCAGCCCACCUGAUACAGGCCUCUCCUGCACCUCCAACCUCCAGCAAUCUGGAGACAGUAAGUUGGCAGCAGUCUUCAUGUCAGAAUUUAAUGCCUUCAGUCCAAGUGCUGGGAGCAUAUGACACAGGGAGAAAAGCACAUCCCUUUUUCCCCUUCCCAAAAUAUGGGGAGAAAAACAAAUGGUCUCCCUCUUAGAAUAUUGUACUCCUCUCAUUGUGACUGACUCCUCCUUCAAUCACUGAUGAAAUCAAGAUCAAGAAGAUCAUUAAGGAUAGGGGUAAUUUGUUUGAACCACAUUCAUACUCUAAGGGCUGCCUGUGUACCUGAGUGGUCAUAAUUGCAGACUUGUUGAAGACUUGGACUCGUAGCUCCCUCUCAGACAUCCUGAGUUGGACACUUGGGUGUGGGCACAACAACCAGUUUCAAGAGAUUGUCAGGUCAUUCUGCUGGUGCUGAUCUGCUAAAAACUGCUGCUUAGAAUACUUGGGACUUCUUAUAGCAUAAGGGCUCUAUAAAAAUGUGCCAGGAAGUAAAGAAAACCAGUCCACUAUCACAUGGCUCCAUGUUGGUUCAAACAGAUAUGAUUUUUCACUAAGCAACUUAAUUUUUUCUCACUUACUACUUAACUAAAAGAUAAAUGGCAGUAAAUUUACUAUUACUUUAGACAAGUUAUAAAAUUAUAAGCCUACGGAAAGAAAUUUAAAAAGAGCCUAACUUUCAUGGAAGAAAAAUGGAAAGUAAGAAAGAACAGCCCUCAAUCAAUUAAUUGAAACUCAAUCCAAAUUUAACAAAUAUUUAUAGAAGUAUCAUUAUAAGCUACAGUGUAUUAGAAAUCAUUGAAUGAACAAAUAAUACUAUUUGACACCAUUGCUUCACAGAUCCGAAAAUAUUCUCAGAAUAAGUGUGUGUGUGUGUGCAUGUGUGUGUGAAAGGUGGCCCCCAGUGACCUCCGGGGGAGGACAUUAGUGAGAACUAGAAACAGAAACCUGGGAUGUAUUAGUCUGAAGAGUGUAGGAAAUGAGGAAAUAGAGAUAACAGAAAUUAAACAUGUCUACCAACAGGAAAAUAAUAAUCUCACACUGUGUUGGGUUAAUUAAUAUGAAUUUAGUAUACAGAAUCAAUAGGAAGGCAUGAAGAGUAGAACAAGAUUAAACAUGAAAAAGUACUAAGAAAUCUAUUUUGGUCAUCUAAGUAAAGGGGGAUAAAAGCUUGAGAAGAAUCCAGACUAGACCAAAAAACUUCAUAGUAGAUACUAUAAUUAAGUAAAUAUGUAAUAACUAGAAAAUUAAUUUUAAAACAUGGGCAUUAAUGGAGUUCAUGGUCAAAAGCAUUCCAUUGAAAAGACCUUUUACUUAAGUUCAUUUUAAAUAUAAUUUUGUUCAUACUGCUAAUUUAUGUUAUGGAGUUAUAUUUAGUAUCCCUCAUCUCAUGCUAAAAGUGCAUUUGAUCAUUUUGUACACAAAGAUAAAACUACAUACAAGGCUUACCAUGGCUUAAUGACCACAGAAACUUUUAUUUCUAGAGGUUUAUGAAAAUGUGAUCAUGAAAACAAAUGAGUGAUUGAUUUUUCUUUCACCUAAAUAUCAUGGCAGUGAAUGCCCUUGAAUGUGUUCUUUUAACAUCCACCACACAAGCAUUAUCUACUUAUAUAGAUUCAUUGAUGAAGAAUAGUAUAUGACCUAUAAUCUUUUAACCUUUAGUGGAGGUAUAAUAAAAGAUAUGAAGCACAUCAAAAUUUUAAGGCUUUAAGUGAGAUAUUGUGACAUUUUAGAAAUUUAUACAUACAUAGCCUCCAAAAAAUACUUGUAAUCCUAAUCCCUGAAAGCCAUCAAAUAAUCUUAUUUUAAGAUGCAAUUCCAUUAAAGAUCUCAAGAUAAAAUCAUCCCGGAUUAUCUGAGUGAUCCCUAAAUCCCAUAUCCUUAAAAGAAAAGGAAGAGAACACUGACAAGAGGAAGGGGCUAUGUAAGAAUGGAGUAGAAACUGGAUUUAGAUGCCACAAAUUGAGGAACACUUGGAGCCCGAGAACCUGAGAGAGAUGGCAGAUUCUCCCAUAAGGCCUUUCUGGGGAGGGCAGCCCUGCAAAGCCUUCACCUCUGACCCCCAGAAAUGGGAAAGAAUAAAUAUGUCUUGCUUAACUCACUAAAUUUGUGAUAUUUCUUAUAGCAUCUACAGAAAAUAAAUACAUAUAAUAAUUUUUCAAAUCUGGCAUACAAAGUAUAUAAACUCUUUGCUGACAUUCAUUCAAAUGCAAUUCACUCAUCCUCAUCUGGAUUGAAAUUUGCACUGUGUCUUUUUUCCCUUUACCUCUAGUCCUCUGUUGAGGCAAAUAGAUAAGAAAGAUGCCCAAAGCAAUUUUCAGGAGAAUUUCCUUAAGCAAGGAGAGUGCAUAAGAUUGUACCUUAUAACUUUAGCUAAAAAAUCUGAAGCAAAGGAUAGCAAAGGAAAUGGACCAAGUAUCCGCACUCUGUUUUCCCUCUGCAGGACUGGGUUUACUAUUUGUUCCAUAAAAACAUUGAGGCUUUUUGUGAUACAAAUCCUAGGGAAAAAGAAGAUGAACAUCAGACUUGCUAGAUUAUUCCUUCUGUGAGGCAAUUUUUUUUUGUCAUUAAAUAUAGAUGUAGGGUAUUUACUAAUAAUCACCAAUAGUAUUUGGAAGACUAUCUCUGCCCUUUACAGUUGUCUUGACUUUUUUUUAAACAAAGUUCUGAUAUAGUUAAAAAGAAAAUGUUUAUGAUGAGAAAGAAGCAGGGUGAAAGAACCAGCAAAUAAUUCUUAAAACAUCACCAUCCUGUGGGACCAUUAUAUACAAGUAAUGACGACACAAAUGAAAGAAAAGCCCAAGCCUGGACCAGCAUGUGGGGAGAAGUGUCCCCAUACCUAUGGCGUGGAUGGCUCAACACGGCACCAUUGGCAAAUCACAGGCACAUUCCUUUCCUUGGCUCUGUAGUCAAGAGACACAGUGAUGCCCACACAAGCACUUCACACUGGGGCCAGUCAUGGCAGGGACAGGAUGGUGCCUCACAGAUGCCUUUGCCAUGUGACUUGUCACCAUGGCAGCCCCAUUCAUUUGGGUUAGUGGCAAAGUUUCCAACAAAUUUAAUUUCAAAAAAACCGAAACAACACAAUGCACACCACUCCUGUACUGGAUUUACCUGGACUGAGAUGUCUGGAUUUGCUUCAUCAGACCCUAACAUACUUUUAUGAAGGGAAACUGUAGCAUUUUUUCAGAUUUCCAUUUGGUGUGAGACUAAGCCUCUGGGACAUGGUAGGAGGGUUCAGUACCCCAUAGAAGAGAGAAGACUGGAGGGGAAGCCACGGAGCCUGACUAGAAGGGAGGACCUCACUCGCGGUGGUUCUCAGAUCCUCACCAGGAAAGGACUGGGAUUCUUCAGGACACUGGCAGACGUAAGUGCAGCACACACAAGGGUUCAACUUUCAAUAUUUGCAGGAACUCCUGAGAAGCCCCUGAAAGUUACCUUUUGCCACAUCCAUAUUUUUCAUGCUAAAUAACUUCCCUACAGAAUAUGCACAUAAAAAUCAAAUGUUGCUUAGAGGGCUAUCAUGGCAAAUUUGUAGGAAAAUUGACCCACCAAGAGCUCAUAAUGCUAAGUGAAACAUAUCAGACACAGAGGUUAAGUAUCAUAUGGUUUCUUUCAUAUGAAGAACCCAAAGUAUAAAUAAUUUAAAAGUAAAAUAGAGGAUAAAUGACAGGAAACAGGGAGAUAGUCUACGUGGAGAUAGGAAGGGGAUCUUAGGAUGGGGAAAACAGGAAGGAGGGGACUGGCAGAGGAAAUAAAGAAGGAUCAAGAUGUGACAAGUAUAUAUACCAAUGCACAGUGAAUGUAUUUAUUAUGUAUUGCAAACAUUAAUACAAAAAUAAACAUCAAUAGCAUCCUUUUCUUCACUUAUUUUAAUUCUAAGGGCACAAUCUGCUGAUCAUUAUUUUUCUUUUUUCUUUUAAUCAGAUUGAUUCAUAAUCAAGAAAACUCAGUUUGUAUGUACAUUGGCCUGCAUCCAGGAAUAUGUCCAACCUGCUUUACCAUUACACUGUUGGGAGUAAAUCCAUGAGAAUAAUACUGCUGUAACAUGAAAGGGAAAACCAAUGUGGCAGGGUGACUGUGUGGGGGACCUGAUCAGAUACAAGUGUGACCAUGUCCAGGCUGAGCCCAUUCUGAAACAACCAUGGACUAGAUCUAGAGUCUUAAAAAUGUCCUUUUUGUUCAGUUCUGGCGAUUGAACCCAGGGGCUUCAGACAGAGCUACAUCCUCAGAUAGACAGA